CCGGGUACGACCUGCUCCCGCAUGGGGGCGGUUGGAAAGGUGCCCUGUUUGGGGUUUCCGGUCGGGGAUGGGCUCGCGGCCUAUCAGCUUGUUGGUGGGGUAACGGCCUACCAAGGCGACGACGGGUAGCCGGCCUGAGAGGGCGACCGGCCACACUGGGACUGAGACACGGCCCAGACUCCUACGGGAGGCAGCAGUGGGGAAUAUUGCGCAAUGGGCGGAAGCCUGACGCAGCGACGCCGCGUGGGGGAUGAAGGCCUUCGGGUUGUAAACCUCUUUCGGCAGGGACGAAGGUGACGU
rnacentral:rRNA from 1 species